GGAAGGAUCAUUAACACGUUUAACACGUUUUAACAAACCCCAAAACGUUCGUGAACUGUAUGUGACCGAUCGAGUUUAAUCGUUAAAGACAAUUGAUAUAUAACCACAUGGAAGUGUAGAAAAACAGAGUUCAUUCUCUGUUUGGUUGUUCAAUUGUUAUGGUCUGCUUCGGCAGAGCGAUUUUACUUGUUUAUCGGUAUUUCAAUCUACGCUUCUCGUUACUUGUGUAAAAAAGAGGUGGUGUUCGCACUGCUUCCUUUUUAAACAUGUAGCGGUAUUAAUAACCCUUUGUAAAUAUCUGACUAAAUUGUGGUGGAAUAAGUAGGUUGAAAUUCCGAAAGGAGUUGCAACAACUACUACAUCUACGCACGUUAAAUUUUUAACAAAAGAACAACUCUUAGCAACGGAUAUCUCGGCUCUCGUAACGAUGAAGAACGCAGCGAAAUGCGAUACGUAAUGCGAAUUGCAGAAUUCAGUGAAUCAUCAAAUCUUUGAACGCAACUGGCACGUUGGGAAUCAAAUACCAACGUAUGCUUCUCUGAGUAUCGGUUCUACCAAAACUCGACUGCGUGUUGGUAAAGCGAACGACUUUAGCUUUAACUGCAUGCUGGAUCGGAUAAUGAAUGUGUUUGCGUCGCAGCAAACUCGUUUUAAGUUGAGAGCGCCUAUUUAUUUCAGCAUUGAGAACGUUGAUUAUCUAACUCUUAUCCAAUAACUGAUGGGUUGAUCAACAGUGUUUUAUCUAGCUGAUGUUUGAUAAGGACCUUUGCUGGUCUUAAUACAUCACAUCGGUUAGGAAGCCCUGAUCAAUCGAGUCGCAUAUUGAAUAAGGGGAUCGACUAUCGGCUCAAGGCUAAGUAAGUAGCGUCAAAAGGAACCAUUAGGGUUCAAAAGCAAUUUGAAUUUUGAUCUCAGAUGAAGUAAGAGAACCCGCCGAAUUUAAGCAUAUUAUUAAGCGGAGGAAAAGAAACUAACAAGGAUUCCCCUAGUAACGGCGAGUGAAGCGGGAAAAGCUCAAGUUUUAAAGCGGUGCUCCGAGAGGGGUAUCGCGUUGUAACCUAGAGACACUAUCUCAGCGUGUGACCCGGGUAUAAAUCCUUUGGAAUAGGGUAUCAAAGAGGGUGAGAAUCCCGUUUUUGACCUGGAGUUCGCCGCGUACGAGAGGUGUUCAAAGAGUCGCAUAGCUUGGGAGUGCUGUGCUAAAUGGGUGGUAAAUUUCAUCUAAAGCUAAAUAUCGACGAGAGACCGAUAGCGAACAAGUACCGUGAGGGAAAGAUGAAAAGAACUUUGAAAAGAGAGUUAAAUAGUACUUGAAAUUGUUAAGAGGGAAGCACAGGAGACCAGUUAUACUUGGGCCUAUUCUUUGCGCCGGUGGAGUUCGCAGGGAGAUUCAGUGACCUUAAAAGCGCUGGGUUUUUCUGUGGGUGAGCCGGUGUACCCUGUAGGUUUGAGUGAGUCAGGAUCAAGUAGAUUCGCGGGAGAAAGCUGCGGGAAGGUAGUGCUGCGGGGUAAAAGCCGUGGCAAACUUAUAGCCCGUUUCUAUACCGUGGGUUUGCUUGAGGAAUAAUCGACAAUGCUCGCCGUAAGGCUGCUUGUGCUUGACCCUGGCGUUCUUGCUGGAUCGGAGAACAAAGUUCUGCGGUUUGGUAACGGGCGUUACUGGUUGGGACACGGGACAUGGGCAUUCGCGAUCUUGACGAAAUGGUCUUCUUUGACCCGUCUUGAAACACGGACCAAGGAGUCUAACAUAUAUGCGAGUAUUUGGGUGUAAAAACCCUGGUGCGCAAUGAAAGUGAAGGCAGCCUUGUGUUGCUGAGGUAGGAACCCGCAAGGGGGCACUAUCGACCGAUCGUUCAUUUAUGAAAGAUUUGAGUAAGAGCAUAUCUGUUGGGACCCGAAAGAUGGUGAACUAUGCCUGAUCAGGGUGAAGCCAGGGGAAACUCUGGUGGAGGCUCGUAGCGAUACUGACGUGCAAAUCGUUCGUCUGAAUUGGGUAUAGGGGCGAAAGACUAAUCGAACUAUCUAGUUGCUGGUUCACGC
rnacentral:misc_RNA from 1 species